UUCACCGUGAGGUGAAAUCUGAAGGAAGCAAAUGGCAAAAUUUGGCUGUGACGAACAGAAAUCUGAUAGUCGGUCAUUACAACUUGGGUAACCUAN
rfam:Photobacterium damselae subsp. piscicida DI21 genomic scaffold scaffold00001, whole genome shotgun sequence.